rnacentral:rRNA from 1 species
AAUUUUGUACAAUGGGGGGAGGCCCGAUCCAGCCAUGCCGCGUGUGUGAAGAAGGUCUUCGGAUUGUAAAGCACUUUAAGUUGGGAGGAAGGGUUGUAGGUUAAUGCCCUGCAAUUUUGACGUUACCAACAGAAUAAGCACCGGCUAACUUCGUGCCAGCAGCCGCGGUAAUACGAAGGGUGCAAGCGUGAAUCGGAAUUACUGGGCGUAAAGCGCGCGUAGUGGGUUCGUUAAGUUGGAAGUGAAAGCCCCGGGCUUAACCUGGGAAUUGCUUUCAAAACUGACGAGCUAGAGUACGGUAGAGGGUAGUGGAAUUUCCUGUGUAGCGGUGAAAUGCGUAGAUAUAGGAAGGAACAUCAGUGGCGAAGGCGACUACCUGGACUGAUACUGACACUGAGGUGCGAAAGCGUGGGGAGCAAACA